CUAAUGUCUAACUUUUAAAUACGUGAAACGAAACAAAUUAUACCCACAACGGCGGCUCCCGUGAUAUAAUUCUUCUAGGUCUCCUUCACUUUGCUCCCAUCGUUGAGUUCUUGCUGGCCUUUGGAAUCCCCUGCUAAUGGUGCCUAAUCCGUCGAUUGUUUCUUUUCUGCCUUUGAUACUAUCGUAGACAAGAAGGAUUGAGAAAGCAAAGUUGCGACUUGGGACGAGAAGGCUACAGACGAUAUAUUAUUUAAAAUUAAGAUAAGAUUUCCUUCUGAAGUUCGAUGUCUCCACUGAUUCGAAUAUGAAGUCUUUCGAUCUCUCUUUCUCUGCUACAUUCAGGGAAUUUAUUACUUAACGUUGGAAUUCUGCAAUAAUUAUUGGUAUUAGCCAUCAUUUGAUCAUCACCUUGGACAAUCUUUUUCUUGCAAUUCAGGAGAUUACCAAAUGAGUAGGCACUCAAGCGACUUGGGGAGGAAGCUCCUACAAGAAAGUAGCAGAAGGAGUGGAAAACAGAGGUGAAGAAGUGAAAAUAUCUCUUGUCCCAAUAUUAGUUUGAAUCCAGCAAUGUUUAAUUGUAAAGAUGUAUAAUUUUAUUCUUGUAUAGGGAUCUUAUGUUUGCAAAUAUUUUAUUUUUGUUUAAAUUGUUUAUGGUGAAUGACAUUUGUAAGUACAAUUUGAACUUUGACGGUAAUACUUUCCUGUUAAUGAAAUAAAAUUUUAGUUUCUACA